rnacentral:rRNA from 1 species
UGCAGUCGAACGAGUUCUGAUUAUUGAAAGGUGCUUGCAUCUUGAUUUAAUUUUGAACGAGUGGCGGACGGGUGAGUAACACGUGGGUAACCUGCCCUUAAGUGGGGGAUAACAUUUGGAAACAGAUGCUAAUACC